UGUAAUCCACCUGAAACGAUUCCGGUUCACGGAUUCCCGAGGGGGAAAGGUGGAUACUCUGGUCCGAUUUCCCGUGAGCGAUCUUGAUCUCUCGAAGUAUUUACAUCUGAAUGGGAAGA
rnacentral:ribozyme from 1 species